UGGACUCUUGGGAAUCCCACGUGACAAGUCUGAAAGUCACCUCUCCUGGAAUAUUUCAAAUACAAACCUGGUUUUCCAAGCCCUGCUGAAGUAUGCUAUCAGCGAUUGAGCCGGGAGCGUAUGAGAGAAAGAAGAAAAUGCUGAAGGGACCUGAAAAGAUGAUCAGUGAAACAGCAAGCACAAAUCACAAAAUGACUUCAGAAAAAUAAACAUUCAGACAAGAGACAACCUAAUGAUGGGAGAAUGUCUUGGCAAACUACACAGCUAACAAAAGAUUAAUAUCAAGGUAAAGAAUUUCGAAUUAAACACAAAAAAGCCAAAUCGACCAACCUAUACAUGAUCUAAUGAUCUGAAUGGAGAGUUCUUAAAAUAAGAAACAGAAAUGGCAAAUAAAUACUUUAAAUUGCUGACCUCAGCCAUCAAGAAAACGUAAAUUAAAACUACUGUGAGAUUCCAUUUCUCCCAGCCAUACUGGCUACCAUCAAGAAGACAGAGGGCAAUGAAUACUGGAAAAAAUGUGAAAAAAAAGUGGAAACCAUAUUUACUACUGGUAUUUAUAUGCACCUGAAGAACUGAAGACAUGGAUCCAAAGGCAUGCAUGUAUACAAAUGAUCAUAGUUGAAUUAUUUACAAGAUCCAAAAUUGUAAAUAGGCUAAAUUUCUAGAAAUUUAAUAGAUGAAUGGAUAAACAAAAUGUGAUAUAUAAUCCAAUGAGAAAUCAUUCAGCUAUAAAAAGGAAUAAAAUUGAGAUACAUAUUCUAACAUGGAUGAACUCUGACCAUGUUAUGCUAAGGUAAACAAGCCAAAAACAAUAGAGCAUUUAUUGUAUGAUUUAAAUAAAAUUCCUUUAAUAGGGCAAUUCAUACAGAAAUUUGAAGAGUUACCAAGGAGUUAGGGGAAGAGGAAAUGAGAAUUACUGCUUAGGCUUCUGGCAUUUCAUCUCAAUAAAAAUAUAUAUGUAAGAAAAAGAAAACUAUAAAAAAUACCCUCAAAAUAGCAAUUCGGGUAUAUGCAUGUAUAUGUGCAUGUGUGCAUGUGUUUGUGUGUGGAGAUCAGAGGUCAACCUUAGGUGUCACUCCUCUAGAGAUAAAGAACCUUGUGAGAUUCUCUCACUGGGGCCGAGUACUUGCUGAACAGUUUGUGCUGGCUGACCUCCAAGCACCCAGGGAUCUGUCUGUCUCUGCCUCUGUCACCAAGCCCACAUUUUACAUAAAUGCUAGGGAAUCUAAACUCAGGUCGUCAUGAGUUUAGACAUGAGUUUAGUACAGCAAGCACUUUACUGACUGAGCCAUCUCCCCAGAAUGGGAGUGAAUUUUUAUAGUCUUGAAUCAGUUAUGCCUUUGAAUAUGACAUAAAAUGAGGAACCACAAAUAUAUCAUUAUUUAGCUGCGUACUUAGAAUAAAAUUAUUUAAAUACCAAAGUACGCCUUCCUUUCAUUAAUUGUCAAACUGGGUAAAAGUAUUUUUAAUAUACAAUGAAAGGU